AUGAAAAUAUUAUAUGACAGAUUACAUUAUAAUGGUGAUAAAAUAACUGUUCGUCAGGAAGGAAGUGCUGAAAUCGUGUAUCCAAAUUACACUCGUAGAAUCCCAUGCAAGGUAUAACUGUUUUUAGAUUUUUUUGAUUUUAAUAAUUUGUGAUUUUGUUGGAAUCAAUAUCAAAGUUAUUAAUCUUCUUAAUUAGUAUUUAUUUAUUUCUAUUGCUAAGUGGGGUUAGGUCAUUUGGUAGAGGUUCUUGUCUCUUAGUGGGAGGUCUUGGGUUCAAUCGCAAGCAAGGAUGAGUUAUUUGUAAAUAUAGGAGUUUGGAAGAGUAACGUUAGCCAUUCAAAAAAAAUUAUGUCUAUUAAUAUCCAACUUUAUACGUAUAGUUGGUUGUUGUUUGAAACAUUCAAUUCAAAUUGUUACGGAUGAUAUCUUUCAAUCUGAUUACACUAACAUUCAAUUCAAUGGUUAUUUUUCUUA
rnacentral:lncRNA from 1 species